GAAAUGCACUUACAAAUUUCUUUAAAUGACACCAAGACAAUUGCCCGAGUCACACACUCAGAUUGAGGGAAUUGUCAACAUAAUUUAUUAGGGGUACAGUCUGGGCUGGAGGGGUAUACUUUGGCCUGGUCC